UACAGAGGGGGCAAGCGUUGUUCGGAAUUACUGGGCGUAAAGGGCGCGUAGGCGGCCUGUUAAGUCGAACGUGAAAUCCCCGGGCUCAACCCGGGAACUGCGUCCGAUACUGGCAGGCUUGAAUCCGGGAGAGGGAUGCGGAAUUCCAGGUGUAGCGGUGAAAUGCGUAGAUAUCUGGAGGAACACCGGUGGCGAAGGCGGUUCUCUGGGCAUUACCUGACGCUGAGGAGCGAAAGUGUGGGGAGCGAACAGG
rnacentral:rRNA from 1 species